AGAUUGAACGCUGGCGGCGUGCCUAACACAUGCAAGUCGAGCGGUAACAGGUGUAGCAAUACAUGCUGACGAGCGGCAAACGGGUGAGUAAUGCUUUGGAAUCUUCCCAGUAGUGGGGAAUAACCAGUCGAAAGAUUGGCUAAUACCGCAUACGUCUGUAAAGGGUUAAAGCGGGGGCUCGUAAGACCUCGCGCUAUUGGAUGAGCCAAAGUCGGAUUAGCUAGUUGGUGGGGUAAUGGCCUACCAAGGCGACAAUCCGUAGCUGGUCUGAGAGGACGACCAGCCACACCGGAACUGAGACACGGUCCGGACUCCUACGGGAGGCAGCAGUGGGGAAUAUUGGACAAUGGGGGAAACCCUGAUCCAGCGACGCCGCGUGUGUGAAGAAGGCCUGCGGGUUGUAAAGCACUUUUAGUGGGGACAAAAGCUACGGAUUAAUACUCUGUGGUCUUGAUUUAACCCAAGAAAAGCACCGGCUAACUCUGCGCCAGCAGCCGCGGU
rnacentral:rRNA from 1 species